rnacentral:sRNA from 1 species
UGCAUCUGCAGCUCAUGAGGAUGAGAACCUCCGGGGGCGGGGAGGUUCGACUCGAGCGAAGCGAGAGAACGUUGCGCCAGCAACGGCCCGCAGGGCGA